UACUCCAGAGUGUUUUCUGCCCACUGCAGCAUUACGUGCAUGGGCGGUGUGUGAUCGUCAGUCCUGCUCCUUGCCUGCAAAAACAAAAUACAAUUUUGUGGAUUCCCCAGCCCUGGUUAUAUUUCAAGAGUAUGUUCACCAAUGUUAGAAGGAAAUGGCUUUCCCUUGACCCCUAUAAAGAAUGGCUUUCUUUAAAUUCUCCAAGUCUACGUCCCACCUUUUCUCUCAUGACAGA
rnacentral:lncRNA from 1 species